ACCAAGGAAUGAUGUUCUAAAUUGACUAAAUAAAUUUUUCAAAAAAAGAUUCCAUUUAAAUCCCACCUUCUGCAGGAAGCCUUUCCUGUCCCCCAUCCCUUUAAUAGAGCCUUUCCUUUGAGAUUCUUUUUCUUAGUGUAAUCUUUUCUGUUUACUGAGCUAUUUAUGAUAUCUUCUCCAUUAACAUGUGAGCCCUUGAAAACCAAGGGCUAUUUUUGUAUGCACAGGGCUUAACCAGUGCUUGGCACAUAAUGGGCGUUUAAUAAAUGCUUGCUAACAAUUGAUCUCCCUAGUCAGCUAGGGACAGAAGAGGAUGAGGAGCGGGAGAAUUCAGGACACAAAAGCGCGGGAAGAGCUCAUCCUAGGGAGGAGGACUGGCCACAAGAACAAAGCGGGACUGGAUUGGAUGGGGAAAACCGGGGCUUGGCCCCCACCUUCACUCCUACCCUCUUUCCCAGCCAGUCCCCAUCCUCUUUCCUUCCCUACCCCCACCCGGGGCAAGCAACGGAAGACCUACAGGCAGAUUGAUCUUCAGGAUGAAUGUUUCCAAAUUCCCUAAUCAAGGGUGAAGAGGAGCCAUAGAAGCUGAGAACAGGCACACAGAAAUGGAUGCCUCUUGGGGAAUCAAGCUUGAGGUUCCUGCUUCUUCCAGAAGAGAAGAGAGAUUCAUUCUUCUUUUAUUACCUCUUCUCUAUUUCCUGCUUUUACCACCUACUCCCAUUUCCUCCCUAUUAGGGAUCCAGGCAAAGGGGAAAGCCAGUCACACAGUUUCUCCUUGCCCUUCCUGCCUGAAGAUGUAAUUAGACCCGUUAUCUCUUUAGGUGGUAUUUUGAGGGUUUCCAUAUCUGAAUUUGAAAUCGAAUUUAAGCUGGAUAUCUACCUAAGCUGUCCUAUACCAUGAACUUGAAAGCAAGGAGAGAAACUGAAAAGGAAGAAAGGAAACCUAAAGGUAUUAGAUCAGUUGUCCCCAUCUGUGAAUCCUUCCCUGACUACUUUAGCCCACUGUGAUCUCUUUGAACUUCUAAAGUCCUAACCGUA